rnacentral:lncRNA from 1 species
UAUAUUGCCUUUAAAAUUAAAAUUUUUAUAGAUCAUAAGGAAAGUAUUUCUUUCUUUUUUCUUAAUAGUAAGCUAAAAAAGCUGAGUGAAGACAGUUUGACUAAGCAGCCUGAAGAAGUUUUUGAUGUCUUAGAGAAGCUUGGAGAAGGCCUACUAAAUUAGAAAUAAUUACAAAAUGACAAAAACCCACAUUAAUUGGACAUUAUGGAACAUACUCUGAGAUCACCUGUGGAUUGAAUUAGCAGAGCUAAUUAGGUAAGGUUUUAAAUUCUUCUAUUACUAAUGAAGAAAAGGAAAAACAAAAAUAGCUGAGUAC